rnacentral:sRNA from 1 species
CAACUCGUAACUUCACCACACUAUUGUGCAAAUACUUAGUAUAAACAGCACUCAGAAGUGGGAAGCCUCCCUUUGUUGUAAAACCCCGGCAGGCUAAGCAAUUGAUUCAACCAUGAUUUUACACUUUACAUUGUACCUCUGUUGUUUGCGACAGUUAGUCCCUUAUUUAAAAAUCAUGGUGUUAUGGUCUUCUGCCGAAGGCCGUCUCCAUUUUUUGUGAUAUUUUUAAAACUCGGCUUGAAUUGAAGAAGGCUCUCCAUCCGAUCUUCUCGGCUAAUGAACAUCCAUGGUCUGUUCAUUGUGUAUCCGCUUCCUAUCGUGCAUCUUCUCACAACCUCUCUUUUUUCUGAUGAAGUACAUAUUAACAGCACGAUCCACAUAAUUUGUACAAGCUGCUUGAAACCUAAUGCACCGUUCCAUGCCUUAUUCGCUGUUGUUGAGUAGAAUCAUGAAUUAGUAUAUAACUACUACU